AACAAUCACACACUUCCUUUUUCUACUUUCUUAUCUGCUUGCACUAUUAUAGCAUUAGCUGAUCAGCCCAACCAACCAUUAUGCAGUGCUCAUUUUCUUCCUUUCUAUAUCAGUAUCCAUUUAGCAUAUUUUAUAUGGCUGAAAUUAUAUUACCUUAAUAAUAUGCAUAUUCAAUAAUACAAAGCAGAUAAACUUUAUAAAUUUGCGAUCUUCCUAGCAAUUGUUCUGAGAAUUUGAAGGGUUUAAUAGAUGGCUUUCUAUGGAUACAAUGGUGAUGAUGGUGAGUGCCAAUUCACUCCUUAUUUCAAUGCCCCUUAUGAUUAUGAUGCUUUUCCAAUUCAGUCUUCCAUAUCAUAUUCUUCCUAUGGCUAUAGCAACUCAGAGCAAAUUGAGCAGAGUACUAAUUACAAUUACUACUACACUAAAAUGCAUCCACAAUUAAGUUAGUCUGUGCACAGUUCUACUGAGCCAAAACUUAUCCAAUAUGAAAAGGCUGCUAAUUCUUUGGAGACAAGAUAUGCAAUCUCUUAUUCAACUAAAGAACACGAUGACACUCUUUUUGAAAAAUAUGAUCCAACCCCUUAUGGUGGUGGCCAUGACAUGGCUCAAACCAAUAAUUCAAUCCUAAGUGUAUAAUUAGUUUUUUCUAAGGUUCUUCCUAAACAUGAUUGUGCAAAAGGAUGGAACAAUAAUACCUUUUUGUAUUAUAUCAUUUUCUCCCAAUGUUGUGGCUAUUACUUUUGGCGAGCAUUUAUAAUAGGUUUCAUGAUACUCUUAAUGUUGGAUUUUGUAAUGUUGUUGUAAGAAGCACUGAUUGUUCAUAGUAUUUUGAGAUGCUCUUCGUUUCGUGAUUUUACAUUUUACUGUGUGGUAGCAACUUACCAAUAUUAAUUCUUGUUUUCUUACUCAACUAAUAUGAACUUUUUUUAACAGAUAAAGGCCCUGAAGUUGGAAGAAUCUUUCAUAAAAAUAGUUCCGAGCAAUUUGAAGCAGCUAGAAUUGUUGAAGACCAAGGGAAAUCUAUUUUGUUUUAUUAGGAGUUGUGGUCGUCAUCUGUACAAAUUACUAUUUUACUUUCUCUUUAAUUUUUUGUUUUCUUUAAGGAAUUGAAAAAAAAGGAUCGUGCAAUUUGGAUGUAAUAUAUAUUAUUGCUACUUUGAUUAGUUCUCUAUAAUUAAAAAAGAUAUUUUAUGUCAAUAUUGACUUCAUUCUUUGUAUGAUUUCGAAUUCGUGUAAUAUAUUUAUUACUUAAAAUUUCACAUUAGUGAAGGAAAA
rnacentral:lncRNA from 1 species